rnacentral:rRNA from 1 species
UCUGGUGACGAUAGCAGAGUGGUUCCACCCAGUUCCAUCCCGAACCUGGAAGUUAAGCACUCUUACGGCGAAGGUAGCGCAAGCAAGACUAGCAAGUUGCCAGGC